rnacentral:rRNA from 1 species
AUACGGAGGGGGCAAGCGUUGUUCGGAAUUACUGGGCGUAAAGGGCGCGUAGGCGGCGUCGUUAGUCAGGUGUGAAAUCCCCGGGCUCAACCUGGGAACUGCACUUGAUACUGCGGUGCUAGAGAUCGGAAGAGGGUAGUGGAAUUCCCAGUGUAGAGGUGAAAUUCGUAGAUAUUAGGAAGAACACCAGUGGCGAAGGCGGCUACCUGGUCCGAUACUGACGCUGAGGCGCGAAAGCAUGGGGAGCAAACAGGAUUAGAAACCCCAGUAGUCC